rnacentral:rRNA from 1 species
AGAUUGAACGCUGGCGGCAUGCCUAACACAUGCAAGUCGAGCGGCAGCACGGGUACUUGUACCUGGUGGCGAGCGGCGGACGGGUGAGUAAUGCCUAGGAAUCUGCCUGGUAGUGGGGGAUAACGCUCGGAAACGGACGCUAAUGCCGCAUACGUCCUACGGGAGAAAGCAGGGGACCUUCGGGCCUUGCGCUAUCGGAUGAGCCUAGGUCGGAUUAGCUAGUUGGUGAGGUAAUGGCUCACCAAGGCGACGAUCCGUAACUGGUCUGAGAGGAUGAUCGAGUCACACUGGAACUGAGACACGGUCCAGACUCCGUACGGGAGGCAGGCAGGUGGGGAAUUAGUUAGGACAAGUGGGGACGAAAGCCGUAGACUCCAGCCAUCGCCGGUCGUGUGUGAAGUAGGUC